UACGUAGGGUGCGAGCGUUAAUCGGAAUUACUGGGCGUAAAGUGUGCGCAGGCGGCAGAGCAAGUCGAGUGUGAAAGCCCCGGGCUUAACUUGGGAAUUGCGCUCGAAACUACUUUGCUGGAGUGUGGCAGAGGAAGGUGGAAUUCCACGUGUAGCGGUGAAAUGCGUAGAGAUGUGGAGGAACACCAAUGGCGAAGGCAGCCUUCUGGGCCAACACUGACGCUCAGGCACGAAAGCGUGGGGAGCAAACAGG
rnacentral:rRNA from 1 species